rnacentral:misc_RNA from 1 species
CUAAGGAAUAAUUACGGAACCUGUUCAUUUACCGAAGACUUUGUUUAGUUUGAGAGGUAUAUCUCCCAAGAUUUUGUUCUUUGAAAACUAGAUAUUGAUUUAUUUCUUAAUAAUAAACCGAGAACACCGCGUUCUAAAGAGUUGAAAACAAAAAUUAUUGGUCUUAAUCGCUAUCUCAUAACCUAUUAUCGUUAGAUAAUUUAGUUACGUU